rnacentral:rRNA from 1 species
AAUAUUGGGCAAUGGGGGAAACCCUGACACAGCAACGCCGCGUGAGGGAAGAAGGCCUUCGGGUUGUAAACCUCUGUCGCAGGGGACGAAGAAGUGACGGUACCCUGUGAGGAAGCCCCGGCCAACUACGUGCCAGCAGCCGCGGUAAUACGCAGGGGGCGAGCGUUGUCCGGAAUUACUGGGCGUAAAGGGUGCGUAGGCGGCUAGUUAAGUUGGAUGUGAAAUACCCGGGCUUAACUUGGGGGGUGCAUUCAAAACUGGAUGGCUAGAGUGCAGGAGAGGGAAGCAGAAUUCCUAGUGUAGCGGUGAAAUGCGUAGAUAUUAGGAGGAACACCAGUGGCGAAGGCGGCUUUCUGGACUGUAACUGACGCUGAUGCACGAAAGCGUGGGGAGCAAACAGG